rnacentral:rRNA from 1 species
UGGGCUCGAACGGCUUGUUAUCACCCUAGAAACAGGGUUUCCAUGCAGCUUGCUGUAUGGCGGAAGUC